CGACCUCAGAGCAGGCGAGACUACCCGCUGAAUUUAAGCAUAUUACUAAGCGGAGGAAAAGAAACUAACAAGGAUUCCCCCAGUAGCGGCGAGCGAACAGGGAAGAGUCCAGCACCGAACCCCGCAGGCUGCCGCCUGUCGUGGCAUGUGGUGUUUGGGAGGGUCCACUACCCCGACGCCUCGCGCCGAGCCCAAGUCCAACUUGAAUGAGGCCACGGCCCGUAGAGGGUGCCAGGCCCGUAGCGGCCGGUGCGAGCGUCGGCGGGACCUCUCCUUCGAGUCGGGUUGCUUGAGAGUGCAGCUCCAAGUGGGUGGUAAACUCCAUCUGAGACUAAAUAUGACCACGAGACCGAUAGCGAACAAGUACCGUGAGGGAAAGUUGAAAAGAACUUUGAAGAGAGAGUUCAAAAGUACGUGAAACCGUUCUGGGGUAAACGUGAGAAGUCCGAAAGGUCGAACGGGUGAGAUUCACGCCCAUCCGGCCACUGGCCUCCGCCCUCGGCAGAUGGGGCCGGCCGCCCGCGCGGAGCAAUCUGCGGCGGGGUCGUGUCCGGUUGCCUUUCCACUCGCCGCGGGGUGGGGCCGUUCCGGUGUGCGGUGGGCCGCACUUCUCCCCUAGUAGGACGUCGCGACCCGCUGGGUGCCGGCCUACGGCCCGGGUGCGCAGCCUGUCCUUCCGCGGGCCUCGGUUCGCGUCUGUUGGGCAGAGCCCCGGUGUCCUGGCUGGCUGCCCGGCGGUAUAUCUGGAGGAGUCGAUUCGCCCCUUUGGGCGCUCGGGCUCCCGGCAAGCGCGCGCGGUUCUUCCCGGAUGACGGACCUACCUGGCCCGGCCCCGGACCCGCGCCGCUGUUGGCUCGGGAUGCUCUCGGGCGGAAUAAUCGCUCCCGUCAGCGGCGCUUCAGCUUUGGACAAUUUCACGACCCGUCUUGAAACACGGACCAAGGAGUCUAACAUGUGCGCGAGUCAUUGGGCUGUACGAAACCUAAAGGCGUAAUGAAAGUGAAGGUCUCGCCUUGCGCGGGCCGAGGGAGGAUGGGGCUUCCCCGCCCUUCACGGGGCGGCGGCCUCCGCACUCCCGGGGCGUCUCGUCCUCAUUGCGAGGUGAGGCGCACCUAGAGCGUACACGUUGGGACCCGAAAGAUGGUGAACUAUGCCUGGCCAGGACGAAGUCAGGGGAAACCCUGAUGGAGGUCCGUAGCGAUUCUGACGUGCAAAUCGAUCGUCGGAGCUGGGUAUAGGGGCGAAAGACUAAUCGAACCAUCUAGUAGCUGGUUCCCUCCGAAGUUUCCCUCAGGAUAGCUGGUGCUCGUACGAGUCUCAUCCGGUAAAGCGAAUGAUUAGAGGCCUUGGGGCCGAAACGACCUCAACCUAUUCUCAAACUUUAAAUGGGUGAGAUCUCCGGCUUGCUUGAUAUGCUGAAGCCGCGAGCAAACGACUCGGAUCGGAGUGCCAAGUGGGCCACUUUUGGUAAGCAGAACUGGCGCUGUGGGAUGAACCAAACGCCGAGUUAAGGCGCCCGAAUCGACGCUCAUGGGAAACCAUGAAAGGCGUUGGUUGCUUAAGACAGCAGGACGGUGGCCAUGGAAGUCGGAAUCCGCUAAGGAGUGUGUAACAACUCACCUGCCGAAGCAACUAGCCCUGAAAAUGGAUGGCGCUGAAGCGUCGUGCCUAUACUCGGCCGUCAGUCUGGCAGUCAUGGCCGGUCCUUGCGGCCGGCCGCGAAGCCCUGACGAGUAGGAGGGUCGCGGCGGUGGGCGCAGAAGGGUCUGGGCGUGAGCCUGCCUGGAGCCGCCGUCGGUGCAGAUCUUGGUGGUAGUAGCAAAUACUCCAGCGAGGCCCUGGAGGGCUGACGCGGAGAAGGGUUUCGUGUGAACAGCCGUUGCACACGAGUCAGUCGAUCCUAAGCCCUAGGAGAAAUCCGAUGUUGAUGGGGGCCGUCAUAGCAUGAUGCGCUUUGUGCUGGCCCCCGUUGGGCGAAAGGGAAUCCGGUUCCUAUUCCGGAACCCGGCAGCGGAACCGAUACAAGUCGGGCCCCUCUUUUAGAGAUGCUCGUCGGGGUAACCCAAAAGGACCCGGAGACGCCGUCGGGAGAUCGGGGAAGAGUUUUCUUUUCUGCAUGAGCGUUCGAGUUCCCUGGAAUCCUCUAGCAGGGAGAUAGGGUUUGGAACGCGAAGAGCACCGCAGUUGCGGCGGUGUCCCGAUCUUCCCCUCGGACCUUGAAAAUCCGGGAGAGGGCCACGUGGAGGUGUCGCGCCGGUUCGUACCCAUAUCCGCAGCAGGUCUCCAAGGUGAAGAGCCUCUAGUCGAUAGAAUAAUGUAGGUAAGGGAAGUCGGCAAAUUGGAUCCGUAACUUCGGGAUAAGGAUUGGCUCUGAGGAUCGGGGCGUGUCGGGCUUGGUCGGGAAGUGGGUCAGCGCUAACGUGCCGGGCCUGGGCGAGGUGAGUGCCGUAGGGGUGCCGGUAAGUGCGGGCGUUUAGCGCGGGCGUGGUCUGCUCUCGCCGUUGGUCGGCCUCGUGCUGGUCGGCGGUGCAGGAUGCGCGCGCCUGCGCGGCGUUCGCGCCCCGGUGCUUCAACCUGCGUGCAGGAUCCGAGCUCGGUCCCGUGCCUUGGCCUCCCACGGAUCUUCCUUGCUGCGAGGCCGCGUCCGCCUUAGCGUGCUCCUCCGGGGGCGCGCGGGUGCGCGGAUUCUCUUCGGCCGCCAUUCAACGAUCAACUCAGAACUGGCACGGACUGGGGGAAUCCGACUGUCUAAUUAAAACAAAGCAUUGCGAUGGCCCUAGCGGGUGUUGACGCAAUGUGAUUUCUGCCCAGUGCUCUGAAUGUCAACGUGAAGAAAUUCAAGCAAGUGCGGGUAAACGGCGGGAGUCCCGUGUUGAGGUGCCAUUUCAAGAGCUGUGGGCGCCCAUCACAUUGGAGGACAUUGCCGCAGCUCUCCCACCUCGUCGCUCCGCUCCGGGCCCUGAUGGACUAACACCUGCCCAGCUCCGUCGUCUUCCCCGUGAGGUCCUCCUGAAAGUGUUAAACCUUUUCCUUUUGACCCGCCGCCUUCCAUCCCGACUCCUACAGGCCCGUACCUCCCUGCUGCCCAAGAAGGCCGCCCCAGCAUCCCCCGCUGACUUCCGCCCGAUCACUGUUUGCUCAGUCCUCGCCAGGGUCUUCCAUAAGAUCCUGGCGGGUCGGCUGAUGCGGACCUGUGUGUUGGACGGGCGUCAGCGGGCCUUCCUUCCUCAGGAUGGGAUGCUGCACAAUUCAUUCUUGUUGGACCUGGCGAUGACUCAGGCCAGGGUGAACUGUAACUCCCUCUAUGUCGCGUCCCUGGAUGUGUCCAAGGCAUUCGACUCCCUGGACCAUGGUGCCCUGAGGCCUGCCCUGAGGGCACAUGGUCUGCCGGACGAGUUCAUUGGAUACAUCCUGGGAUGCUAUGAGAAUGGGGUGACUGUGAUCUCUGGUUCGGGAAAGUCACUGGGUCCAGUGCGGCCUUCAAGGGGCGUUCGGCAGGGCGACCCUCUCUCCCCUAUCCUGUUUAACCUUUCGCUGGACCUUAUGCUUGCUCGCCUCCCAGAUCAUGUUGGUGCCAACAUCAUGGGACGACGCCUGAAUGCUGCCGCCUUCGCUGACGACCUCCUGUUGUUCGCUGAAACUAAAGGUGGUCUCCAGGACCUGAUCGAUACAUCUGUAUCAGCUCUUGGUGACCUGGGUCUCCAGGUCAAUCCUGGGAAGUGCUUUACUCUCGCCCUCGCGGCCUCUGGCCGUGAGAAGAAAGUUAAGGUCGACAACACCACGACCUUCAAGGCUGGAUAUACCACCCUUCCAGCCUUGGCAGUCGAGAGCACUUUUCGGUAUCUUGGCCUGGAGUUUUCUACCAGCGGAUGUAGCCUCUUCCAUCCGAGGCGGGAGGUCGAGCGACAGCUGAGCGUCCUAUCCAAGGCACCACUGAAGCCACAACAACGUCUUCACGCCCUGAGAACCGUCGUCUUGCCAGGAAUCCACCAUGGCCUGGCUCUGUCGAGGACCCGUCUUGGUGCUCUCUCCGCAGUGGACAUAGCCGUCCGCACAGCGUUGAGAUCUUGGCUGUGCCUGCCAGCGGACAUCCCUGUUGCGUACUUCCACGCCCCUGUUACAGCUGGGGGUUUGGGAGUGCCAUCAGCUCGCUGGCUUGGGCCUCUGCUGCGGCGGAAUCGACUCGCCAACAUCCGAGCUUUGGGAGUCCUAUCAGACGGGUCGACAGAGGACGUUCUCGGGCGCGAAUUUGGGAGGCUGGAGCAUCAGCUACGGUGGAACGACGGGGUCAUACGGACGAGCAACCAGCUUGCCCGGAUGUGGGCAGAGAGGCUGCACUCGUCGGUGGAUGGAGCUGCCUUGAGGAAGUCUGCCCGAACACCAGGGCAACACAGCUGGGUGGAUAACCCCCAGCACCCUAUUAGUGGCCGCGACUUCAUCUCCUGCCUGCGAACCAGGAUAAAUGCCCUUCCAACUCGGGCUAGGUUGCAGCGUGGCCGUUCAGGUGACACCAACUGUAGGGCAGGCUGCGUCGCAACUGAAACCGCAAAUCACGUUGUCCAGCAUUGCUUUAGGAGUCAUGACGCCCGUGUUAAGCGACAUAAUGCCUUGGCAUCUUAUGUUGCCCAAGGCCUUCGUCGCCGAGGCUUUGACAUCCACCUUGAGCCUCACCUUCGAACAUCUGAGGGCCUAAAGAAGCCGGACAUCGUGGCGGUUCGGGGCGAUGCAGCCCACGUCGUCGAUGCCCAAGUCGUUGGUGUUAACCUGGACGUCGACCAGUGCCACAAGGAGAAAGUCGCGGUCUACGACAGGGAAGCCGUCCACCAGGCCAUUAGGAGACUUCAUCCAGCAGUCCAGCACAUCACCACCACCUCGGCGACCAUCUCGUGGAGGGGUGUUUGGUCGCCGAAUUCUGCAAGUGAUCUGCGCAGGCUGGGCUUCAGGAACCACCAUUUUGCGGCCAUGGCAACGCAGGUCCUCGUCGGUACUGUCAUGGCGGC